GGCUAUUAUGAAAAUAUUUAUAGUCUAGCCUGCUCACUGAUAUGAAAUAUUAAAUAGCCGCGGUAUCUUGACCGUGCAAAGGUAGCAUAAUCAUUAGUUUUUUAAUUGGAAACUUGUAUGAAUGGUUGGACAAGGAAGAAUCUGUCUCUUUUAUAAAUAUUGAAUUUAACUUCUAGGUGAAAAGGCUUAGAUUUUUUAGAGGGACGAUAAGACCCUAUAAAGCUUUAUAAGUUUAAAAAUUUUUAUAUAUUUUUGUAUAAAAAUAAUUUUUCGAACACUUAUUUGGUUGGGGCGACAAGAGUAUAAAAAGUAACUGCUAGAAUUUAAUACAAAGAUAGUUGAUUAAAUGUAUUAACAGAUCCUUCAUAAGGAUUUUAAGAUCAAGUUACUUUAGGGAUAACAGCGUUAUUUCUCCUGAGAGUUCUUAUCAAAGGAGAAGUUUGCGACCUCGAUGUUGAAUUAAAAUGUCUUUAUAGUGCAGCAGCUAUAAAAGAAGGUCUGUUCGACCUUUAAUAUUUUACAUGAUUUGAGUUCAGACCGGCGGGAGC
rnacentral:rRNA from 1 species